rnacentral:rRNA from 1 species
UACGGGGGGGGCAAGCGUUGUUCGGAAUUACUGGGCGUAAAGGGCUCGUAGGUGGCCAACUAAGUCGGACGUGAAAUCCCUCGGCUUAACCGGGGAACUGCGUCCGAUACUGGUUGGCUUGAGUCUGGGAGAGGGAUGCGGAAUUCCAGGUGUAGCGGUGAAAUGCGUAGAUAUCUGGAGGAACACCGGUGGCGAAGGCGGCAUCCUGGACCAAUACUGACGCUGAGGAGCGAAAGCCAGGGGAGCAAACGGG